rnacentral:misc_RNA from 1 species
ACACCUCAACUCUUCAUGGUUUUCUGUGAUGAGCUUGGACUUUGGGGGUUUUGCUGGCCUACGGUCGGCUCCUCUAAAUUGAAUCAGCUUGCCAGUGUUUGGUGGGCAUCACAGGUGUGAUAACUAUCUACGCUUGUGGUUUUCCCACCAGGUAACCUUCAGCAGUGGAGGUUCGCUGGAGCUCACAGAUGUCUCUCCUCGGCGAGGACAACCCUUUGAAU